rnacentral:rRNA from 1 species
CAAUAGCGUAUAUUAAAGUUGUUGCGGUUAAAAGCUCGUAGUUGGAUUUCUGCCGAGGACGACCGGUCCGCCCUCUGGGUGAGUAUCUGGCUUGGCCUGGGCAUCUUCGUUGGAGGAACGUAGCUGCACUUGACUGUGUGGUGCGGUAUCCAGGACUUUUACUUUGAAAAAUUAGAGUGAUUUAAAGCAGGCUAUUGCCUUGAAUACAUUAGCAUGGAAUAAUAAUCUAGGACUUCGGUUCUAUUUUGUUGGUUUCUAGUACUGAAGUAAUGAUUGAUAGGGAUAGUUGGGGGUGCUAGUAUUGACCGGCCAGAGGUGAAAUUCUUGGAUUCGGUCAAGA